rnacentral:rRNA from 1 species
UAAUACGGCACAAGACUCAAGACGGCGAGCUUCUGAUCUGUAGGGAGCUUUUGUGUCCCGAUGGGAUUAGCUCGCAGGUGGGGUAACGGCUCAUCUUGACAACGAUCCCUAGCUGGUCUGAGAGGAUGACCAGCCACACUGGAACUGAGACUAUAUCCAGACUUAUACCGGGGGCAGCAGUUAGGAAUAUUGCACAAUGGGCGCAAGCCUGAUGCAGCAAUGCCGCGUGUAUGAAGAAGGCCUUCGGGUUGUAAAGUACUUUCAGCGAGGAGGACUCUGUUGUGGUUGAAAACCGCGGCGAUUGACGUUACUCGCAGAAGAGGCACCGUCUAACUCCAUGCCAGCGGCCGCGUUAAUACGGAGGGUGCAAGCUUUAAUCGGAAUUACUGGGCUGUACGCGCACGCUGGCGGUCUGUCGAGUCGGAUGUGAUAUCCCCGUGCUCUACGCCAGAGCACCUGCCUCCAACACUGGAAGGCUAGU